ACUCUUCAACCCUCCAAUUCCUUGUUGAAUUGUGAGGUGUUUGGAUUCUGAGCGCUGCUGGCCUAACUUGAGAUUUUCGAAUCUCUAAUUUGGCGAAGCUCGUUCGUAAUAUAUUAGCAUCUCAAUUUCGAAAUUCGGAUUGACUCGGCGUAAUAGACUUAUUCGCUGAGGACACUAUACUCUAGUGGCCGAAAUUUGAGGUAGAAGCUUCUAACUCUCUAUUUGAAGUCAAAUUCUAAG
rnacentral:misc_RNA from 1 species